rnacentral:rRNA from 1 species
GACGUAGGGCGCGAGCGUUGUCCGGAUUUAUUGGGCGUAAAGAGCUCGUAGGCGGCUUGUCGCGUCGAUUGUGAAAUCCCGCGGCUCAACUGCGGGUCUGCAGUCGAUACGGGCAGGCUAGAGUUCGGUAGGGGAGACUGGAAUUCCUGGUGUAGCGGUGAAAUGCGCAGAUAUCAGGAGGAACACCGAUGGCGAAGGCAGGUCUCUGGGCCGAUACUGACGCUGAGAAGCGAAAGCGUGGGGAGCGAACAGG